GAUGGUGCUUGCACCUGAUUGACGAUGGAUCACCAGUGAGUGGCGGACGGGUGAGUAACACGUAGGUAACCUGCCCCGGAGCGGGGGAUAACAUUUGGAAACAGAUGCUAAUACCGCAUAACAACAAAAGCCACAUGGCUUUUGUUUGAAAGAUGGCUUUGGCUAUCACUCUGGGAUGGACCUGCGGUGCAUUAGCUAGUUGGUAAGGUAACGGCUUACCAAGGCGAUGAUGCAUAGCCGAGUUGAGAGACUGAUCGGCCACAAUGGAACUGAGACACGGUCCAUACUCCUACGGGAGGCAGCAGUAGGGAAUCUUCCACAAUGGGCGCAAGCCUGAUGGAGCAACACCGCGUGAGUGAAGAAGGGUUUCGGCUCGUAAAGCUCUGUUGUUGGAGAAGAACGUGCGUGAGAGUAACUGUUCACGCAGUGACGGUAUCCAACCAGAAAGUCACGGCUAACUACGUGCCAGCAGCCGCGGUAAUACGUAGGUGGCAAGCGUUAUCCGGAUUUAUUGGGCGUAAAGCGAGCGCAGGCGGUUGCUUAGGUCUGAUGUGAAAGCCUUCGGCUUAACCGAAGAAGUGCAUCGGAAACCGGGCAACUUGAGUGCAGAAGAGGACAGUGGAACUCCAUGUGUAGCGGUGGAAUGCGUAGAUAUAUGGAAGAACACCAGUGGCGAAGGCGGCUGUCUGGUCUGCAACUGACGCUGAGGCUCGAAAGCAUGGGUAGCGAACAGGAUUAGAUACCCCUGGUAGUCCAUGCCGUAAACGAUGAGUGCUAGGUGUUGGA
rnacentral:rRNA from 1 species